rnacentral:lncRNA from 1 species
CUGAUAAUGGCAACGGGAGUUUCCUGGCCUCCCGUCUCCUGUGUGACGUAGUUUUCCCUUCGCCCAGACUCACAGUUGCCCUGGGCAACAGUCGAGCAGUCAGGGAAGAGAAGCAUCUUUCCUUCCGUAGGUUUGAGUCAACACCUGUCAGUCAUCUUCGUAAUACCGGCUUGGAUACCUAAAGCUGCGGGGAAAAAGUAUCAGGAGAACUUUCAGGUAAACUGAAAAUUGUUUAUAUCCACGCUAGUCCACAACAAGGGUGCACACCUACAUUCUUUGCUGAAUUUCUUUUUAUAUUCUUAGUAUUCAUUCUCUAGCCAAAAUGGACUUUUCUUGUUUCUAACAAGAUUAAUCACUGAAGCACCAACGUUUUGUGAUUCUGUAUCCAUGUCCUAGUAACCUUGGAGAUUUGUGUCCAGAUUUUCCCCAGCAGGAAGUAAUUUCCUCUGAGCUUACCUAGCAUUUUUCUGAACCUCUUUUAUGACAACCAUUGUUUUAUAUAACAGCUGCUUGUGU